rnacentral:rRNA from 1 species
AGAGUUUGAUCAUGGCUCAGGACGAACGCUGGCGGCGUGCCUAAUACAUGCAAGUUGAGCGAUGAAGAUUGGUGCUUGCACCAAUUUGAAGAGCAGCGAACGGGUGAGUAACGCGUGGGGAAUCUGCCUUUGAGCGGGGGACAACAUUUGGAAACGAAUGCUAAUACCGCAUAACAACUUUAAACAUAAGUUUUAAGUUUGAAAGAUGCAAUUGCAUCACUCAAAGAUGAUCCCGCGUUGUAUUAGCUAGUUGGUGAGGUAAAGGCUCACCAAGGCGAUGAUACAUAGCCGACCUGAGAGGGUGAUCGGCCACAUUGGGACUGAGACACGGCCCAAACUCCUACGGGAGGCAGCAGUAGGGAAUCUUCGGCAAUGGACGAAAGUCUGACCGAGCAACGCCGCGUGAGUGAAGAAGGUUUUCGGAUCGUAAAACUCUGUUGGUAGAGAAGAACGUUGGUGAGAGUGGAAAGCUCAUCAAGUGACGGUAACUACCCAGAAAGGGACGGCUAACUACGUGCCAGCAGCCGCGGUAAUACGUAGGUCCCGAGCGUUGUCCGGAUUUAUUGGGCGUAAAGCGAGCGCAGGUGGUUUAUUAAGUCUGGUGUAAAAGGCAGUGGCUCAACCAUUGUAUGCAUUGGAAACUGGUAGACUUGAGUGCAGGAGAGGAGAGUGGAAUUCCAUGUGUAGCGGUGAAAUGCGUAGAUAUAUGGAGGAACACCGGUGGCGAAAGCGGCUCUCUGGNCUGUAACUGACACUGAGGCUCGAAAGCGUGGGGAGCAAACAGGAUUAGAUACCCUGGUAGUCCACGCCGUAAAC